rnacentral:misc_RNA from 1 species
UCCUCGUUUAAGCGAGGCAGUCUGUCCAGAGUGCUCCCAACUCUCGUUAGGGUGGCAACAGGACACAAGGGUUGCGCUCGUUGCGGGACUUAACCCAACAUCUCACGACACGAGCUGACGACAGCCAUGCAGCACCUGUGCAAGCUGGUAUUGCUACCUCGUUAGACUUUCAUCCUUCUACUACUUGCAUGUCAAGGCCAGGUAAGGUUCUUCGCGUUGCAUCGAAUUAAGCCACAUACUCCACCGCUUGUGCAGGCCCCCGUCAAUUUCUUUGAGUUUUAAUCUUGCGACCGUACUUCCCAGGCGGCGCAUUUAUCGCGUUAGCUACGCCACAAAAGGGGUCGAUUCCUUUUACAGCAAAUGCGCACCGUUUACAGCUAGGACUAC